rnacentral:rRNA from 1 species
AACGCUAGCUACAGGCUUAACACAUGCAAGUCGAGGGGAAACGAUAUUGGAAGCUUGCUUCCGAUAGGCGUCGACCGGCGCACGGGUGAGUAACGCGUAUCCAACCUGCCCAUCACUUGGGGAUAACCUUGCGAAAGUAAGACUAAUACCCAAUGACGUCUCUAGAAGACAUCUGAAGGAGAUUAAAGAUUUAUCGGUGAUGGAUGGGGAUGCGUCUGAUUAGCUUGUUGGCGGGGUAACGGCCCACCAAGGCGACGAUCAGUAGGGGUUCUGAGAGGAAGGUCCCCCACAUUGGAACUGAGACACGGUCCAAACUCCUACGGGAGGCAGCAGUGAGGAAUAUUGGUCAAUGGGCGAGAGCCUGAACCAGCCAAGUAGCGUGCAGGAUGACGGCCCUAUGGGUUGUAAACUGCUUUUAUAAGGGAAUAAAGUGAGUCUCGUGAGACUUUUUGCAUGUACCUUAUGAAUAAGGACCGGCUAAUUCCGUGCCAGCAGCCGCGGUAAUACGGAAGGUCCGAGCGUUAUCCGGAUUUAUUGGGUUUAAAGGGAGCGUAGGCGGGCUGUUAAGCCAGCCGUCAAAUUGCGGGGCUCAACUCCGUACCGCGGUUGGAACUGGCGGCCUUGAGUCGGCAAGAGGCGCGUGGAAUUCGUGGUGUAGCGGUGAAAUGCAUAGAUAUCACGAAGAACUCCGAUUG